UUUAAAAAAUUAGAUAAUUAAGUUAAAAUGGAUUAAAGUUUAAGUAAAUUUCAUGUAUUUUUAUUUAUAUUUCUCUAAGGUUAAUUUCAUACAGGUCUCUGCAAAUAUAGUGAAUGACAAAUAAAUUCCUAUAAAGUUUAAUUUUUAUAUAUUAUUACUACGAAAGUUCUAAUAUUUUCGAAUAUGUCCCUUCAAAAGCCAUAACAGUACAAUAUAAGAGGGAUAAAAAUAUCAAAAAUUAAUUAGGAUUAAGUAUUUAAUCUAUGAUUAACUAAAUUUGUCUAAUGGAUUUUAACGGCAGAAAUGUAUUUGAAAAUAUCAGGACUUUUGUAGAGACAAUAUAUGAAAGUUGAACUUUGUAGAAAUAUAUUUAUCAUUCACUAUAUUUACAGGAACAUGUAUAAAAUUAAUCCAGUUGAGGGGUCUGUAUACAUUUUUACCUACUACUUGCAAUCAUAGUUAGUUAAUUUGGAUUUUGCAAAAAUUCGAUACGAGUAUAAUAUGAAUAAAAUUCGUAUCCUAAUUUUUAAAUUCGUUGAAAAAUACAGCUUAAAAAACGAAUUCACUAAUUAUCCGGAUGCGCAAUUUAUACGAAAAUUAUACGUUCAUCAAUUAAAAGUUCGGGAUAAAAAAAAUUCAGCUAGUAAAUUAAAUUUUUUUUAUAGAUUAU
rnacentral:lncRNA from 1 species